rnacentral:lncRNA from 1 species
GCUUUCCAUUCAAAUUGCAAAUGAUAACAAGCUGAGAUGUGCUGCACAAUUUUGUUCAGGAAUGUACAGAAAGUGCAUCUUAAUCCACUUCUAUCUAGUCCAUGGAUAGAGCUCGUUUUCUCAAUGCUGACUCCAUUUAAUGCUUUUGAGGUCAAUUCCGUCCUGCACCAUUUCCCAAAGAGGGCUCAUUUCCCUCAGCCUCUUAACAUGCUGUAUGCAUUUCUGCACCGUAUAAUCUAUUUCUUCUUCUGUAGUGAAACGACCAAUGCCAAAUCUUAUAGAGGAGUGAGCCAAGUCUUCGUCCGCUCCGAUUGCCCGCAAAACAUAUGAAGGCUCCAGAGAAGCUGAUGUGCAAGCACUUCCUGAAGAUAGAGCCACAUCUUUCAGAGCCAUGAGAAGACUCUCCCCUUCCACAUAUGCAAAAGAUAAAUUGAUGCAUCCUGGAUAACGAUGCUCUCUGUCUCCAUUCAUAACCACAUCAGGAACUUCACUCAGUAUUUUCGUAACGAGCCGUUCUGCCAGCUGUGAGAUUCGCUUAUGGUCAUACUCCAUCUCCUCCUGUGCCACCUCACACGCCGCCCCCAGGCCCACAGCCAGCGGUGUGGGCACAGUCCCGGAUCGCAGCCCUCUCUCCUGGCCUCCCCCGCUCUGCAGGGGUUCCAGCCGCACGCGCGGUCGCCGCCGAACGUAGAUGGCACCAACCCCUUUGGGCCCAU